CCUGGUUCCAAUCAGCACUUCUCACUGCUUGCACUUAAGCCUGCCUCUUCAUGUAUUCAAGUGAACGGUGUGAGUAUUUUUCCUCCAUCGCAGUACACUGGCUGAAACAUUGCUCUUGAUGAGUACAGAGCGUAUCAUAGUAGAGGCCAUUGGUGCAAAUAUACAUGCCCUGGAAAACAUCAGGAUGCAGAUCUUUGUGGAAUGUUCGAGGUGCCAAAAAAGGACGGGAUGACUUUUGGUCAGAGCUUCUUACAACCACCAGCUGCUUCGUACCAAUAACGACUCACCUUCCGCCACCCUGCCUUCUACCUCUUGUCUUUUGGACAUUUCUGGAUUCAUUACUCCAUCACUGGAGAUAAAAUUCACCUACAGGAACCAACAAUAUUCUCCUACAGGAUAACUCAUCGGUCAAAGUUACGGAGUUAUUUCCCUUUCCUUCCUAACCCAACAUGGCUGCCUCAAGUACACAUGGAGCAUUUUCCAAGAGAACAAAGGGAGAAAGGUUGUUCCCCAGGGACAACUGAAUAUGGCAUGGUAGACAUGAGACUGAUCUGGCAGCCCACAGUCUACCAGCUGACAACUAACUGCACGAUUCCAUAAGCCAUGAAAACACUCCAUCUCCGUCUCCCUCUGGAAGAAGCAGGGUCACAAAAUGUGUUGUACAAAGGUAGCUGUGGGAGAGCCCACCCUCUGAUGCGCACCCGGUCACGGAGAAGGUGCUGAAGUGGCAGGAUGUCCUCAGGGCUAUGCCCCCAAUUGCCACAGAUGAGGAUGAGAAGAGGAGGAUAACAGAUGAGGUCUCAUCCUGAUUAGGGUCCUGGGUCAGCUGAAGCCUAACCCAACAAACUUUGGACAAGAGACAACACUGCAGUGUAUUGCCCAGCCAAUGUGGUCCUGAAUGUCAUCUUUGAAUUUCCAUGGACUCACCAACUCCAGAAGUAAGAAGAAGAAAAAUGUGGGAUAUUGCACUUUUCACUGCUUUCAGUGUACAUUGAUCGCUAUAUAUAUUCAACUGAGAUGUGGAGUUCUGACAGACAUAUGAGCACAUGGUUAGUAAUUCUGCCUAAGAGUCAGGGUUCUGUGUUUGAACCUUGGUUUUGGCCUUUGCGCGUUCUCCACCUUGGUUACGGAGUUUUUUUUCUGCGUAAUACAGCUUCCUCCAACAUUCCCAAAAUUAACACGCAAGGUUCAGUGAAGACUCUAAAUUGUCCGUAGUUGUUUGUCAGGUUGUUUGCAUACAUGUAACAAAAAUAUCAGCAAGUACAGACUCCAGCUCCCCACAAACAUGAACAGAAUAAGCAUUACAAAAAAAUUGACUGAUAUUCAGCUAUUCAGGCCAUCCACAUUACUAGCUUUCUACACAUACAAUGUGACUUUUUCUCCUUAGUUUUAUAUAUCGAUGCAUACAAAUGCUUCCUAUGACUAAACACAGCCCAACAUUCUAGAGUAAUAGCUCCAUCUGUUGCUUUGGCAUACACUCAACAGCCUGCAUUUUUACUGUCUGUGUAGACGUAGAUUUACUGACCAAAGAGAAAGAUAAUAAAAUGGAAUGAGAGGAAACUGUUCAAAAACAUUGUUUUAACCAUGAUGAAAUCCAAUGAAGUCUCAUACGAUACAAACAUUUAGCAAGCGCCACUGUGGCACAACUAAAGUCAAUGUACCUGUGUAUGUUUAAAAAUGGGCCAAUAUAAAUACAUUUUCAAAUUGAUGACAUUUUAAUUUAUGAUCGAGUUCUUAUCACCAUUUGUAAACACAAUGUAAACACAACGUCCUUAACAAAGGAUAUAAAAUUGAAAUUCCAAAUAAUUACCAUGUGAAAAAAGCCAGCGGGAGGUGAGUAAAGAAAGUUAUGCAAGAAUGUUCUCCAAAACAUUGAUUCAAACUUUUAACCUGAGAUUAUGCUGAAAUCAGAAAUAUAAAAAUGUCACACAACACCAACAUCCCUCUCUGCACCUAUUGUGUCCAUGAACAAGACACCAAUACCCUGAGUUUCUCUCUGGGUCCAAACUCACCCAUUGUUUCAGUGUUUGCCACAAACUGAAGAGGGCACAUUUCUUGCAUAUGCAUGCAUCACUAUGAAAAGAAAAAUCUUUUUAUGGACUCUGACUUUGGAACUGCAGGAUCAAAGAUCAAAGUUUGCUGCAGAUGGCAAAAGAAAUAAAAUGGCAACUUGUUGUAGGAGAGAUGCUAGACUUCUACCUGGCUACAGUCAGAAUCUGGUUUUGCAAGGCAACAAAUCCCUGUGGCU